rnacentral:lncRNA from 1 species
AUGUCAUGGGAUGUGGAGGAUGAGCCCCAAGGGAUGGACCAAGGGUGGGAAAAAAUAGAAGCGAAAAAAAUAAAUUAAAAAUCCUAAUCGGAUCUCUCUUAACAAUCUUCACUGUCAUUAGUCUCUCUCUUCUUUAAUUCUACAAGAACUGUCACCAAAUAUAUGGCGUUUUUAUAUAAAACUUAACAAAUCCAUCGGUCUGAUUAUUUUGUCUGCUCGUCUGUUGAAGUGGCUUUUGUGGAUGUUGGGGGACAUAGAUAGAUGACCUAUGGGUGGGUUUUUUCGCUUUGCUCUUCAACUUUAUCUACAUCUUUAUAAUCAUCCACUCUUCGGUAUCAUUGAUCUCGUCUCCUCAUCCAAGCCUUCUUCAAGAACAAAGAACACAAAAUGACAUAUGACUGUCAUCAGUAUCUUUUUCUUGAAGAUUUGUCCAUCUCAUGCAGCAAAAUCUUACUGAGUUACUCCCCUCACCUAACAAUCCAUUCCGUGAAACUUCACGAAGAACAAUAUUGAAUAUCCAAUAAUGCAUGUUAGCCAUCUUUGAUUUUUUAAAAUUCUUGGCAUUUUACAGUGAGUGGUAUUUAGGAAUAUUGGCGUUUGUUUUUUUGGUGUGAUCAAAUGGAAGUUGCUCAGAGGUAUCAUUUUAUAGGAUGUCUUUUGGCGCGUAGUUUAGGCGGUGUAUUAUUAUAAUAAAGUAUUCGUCGUUUCAGUUACUGUUUGUAAUUACUGUUUUUGAUAAGCUUUAUCUCUGAACUCUGUAACACGUCCCAUAUUUCAGGUGUGGCGUUUUAGAUUUUAAUAUAAUAAAUGUUGUUAAUAAUAAAGUUUCCGUCGCUUCAGUUUUACUGUUUUGUAGUUACUGUUUCUAGUUACCUUUUCGAGAUUUUAGCGUUUUUUUAUUUUUAAUGAGGUUUUAUAUAAAGAUGACACUUUUUUUCUAUUUUUCUUAUUUUUCUUGAACCUUGGUUUUUAUACUUUUUUUUUUUGAGUUUUUUAUAAUACUUGUCCAAAGUAAUUUUAUUAUAGUUUGUGAGUUUUGGGGUGUUUUAUGGCAUGAUGGCGUUUAGAAAAGCAUUUGGUUGUGUGGCGUUUUUAUUAUAUAUGGCGUUGUUAUUAUAUAACAAUCAACUGAAAUAGAAAUUUAAAAUAUAUAUAGGAGUUGGGUAGAAAGUGGAUUUUUCCUAGAAAGUCUAGGAAGCAAUCAGAAUGCGACACGUGGCAUUAAAGGAUUUUAACUAGAAGGGCAAUUAUGUACUUUCACAAUCUAAUUUUAUUUUAGGAAAUUAUCUUCAAUAACUAACUAUCCAUAAUGAAACCAAUUUCCUCCAUAAUUUUCGAAAAUUUUUGUUUUCGAAUUCAGAUCUCACGUAAAUAUCAAUCAUUCCUUCGUUUUCUUGCUCACAAGAUUCAUCAUUGAUCAUUUUUUUUAUACGGAGAGAAAAAUCAUGGCAUAUGGAAUCUAUCAGCAUGUUCUUGGUACUGUGUUUUAACAGUUAGAGGGUUAAAGUCAAUGUUUUUAUAGAUCCCAUAAUAUGAAUGAUGUUUGGUAACGCUGGAUGAUUUCUUGUCAUUGUGUUUAACAACAAGCAGAUUAGUACCGUAUUGUUUUAGCAUUCAUGCUGGUAAUGCUGGAGGAUUUCUUGACGAUGUGUUUUACCAUUCAUGCUGGAGGAUUUCUUGACAUUGUGUUUUAACAGAAUGCAGAUUAAUACAGUUGUGUUUUAGCAUUCAUGUUGGUAAUGCUGGAGGAUUUCUUGACGUUGAGUUGAAGCACGAAUAGGAGGGAGUGGAUGAUGAGAAUCUUGUUCAUUUACAACUUCCAUUUUCUCCUCAAGUUUUCGGCUUUUUAAAAAACCAAGGUAAUACAUCUGAAGCGUCUUUUGACCUUUUUCGACAGUUCAACUGUCUAAAAGUAACAAAAAAAAAAAGUCAAAAUCAAUCCUAAAUUCAGUAGAAGCUAACAGCUAGUGGUGCUUUUGGGUGUCCAAAAAAAUGACCCAUGAUCUUUGACCGCGCUUCCCAUGAUGAUAAUGAAAGAACCCAUGAUAAGCUCAUCUAUUUAACAACUAUAAUGUGCAUUCAGCAAAUAGUUUGAACUUAUGACCAUAUAAUCCCAUUAGACAAAGACUAAUCAAAAAGCAAUAAUCAAAGACUUCAAACGCUUUUAGACAAUACCCAGCUGCCAACAUAUGGGAAACAAAUGGGGGCCACAUACAAUGGUAGUGGUUGGUUUCACAGCAGUGUGAUAGUAUUUGCCUGGGUGGUCUCACCAAGCCUAUUGAAGAAAUAAAACACCGAUCACCAAGCAUAAAGUUUUUAUAGAGGAAAAAAAGGAAAGUUGUAAUUGCAAUUACAAAUUUACUAACAAUAUCAAAUGAAUGUUGAGUAUGUUUAGUAUUAUCAGAAUGUUUAUCUAAAAUAUAAAAAAAAAAAUCAAAAACACAUAUGUACUAGGCAUGUCAAUGGAUGGAUAUGGAUCGGAUCAUGAUCCGAUCCAUUAAUGAUCCAACUUAAAUGGAUCAUGAUCCGAUCUAUGAUCCAACAUAAUGGAUCGUGAUCCGAUCCAUAUCCAAGUAAUUUUAAAUGGAUGGAUCACUAUCCGGAUCGAUCCAUAUAAAAAACCUCUAAAAAUAAAAUAAAAAAUCGCAAAAAAAAAUUGUAAAAAUACAAAAAAAAAUCUACAAAAAUAAAAAAAAAUAAAAAUAAAAAUAAUUGAAAAAAUUCUAAAAAAAUUCUAAAAAAUAUAAAAAAAAAUAAAAAAAUUCUAAAAACCACUUUAUUCUAAGUUUAAUAUCUAACAAAUUGUAUUAUUAUUAUUGCUAACCUAAGUGGUGAUUAAGUUAGUUACUGGCUGUUAAAAGUACCCCACCAGUAGAUGCUCCCAGUUUCUUCUUGUUCCCUUUAGAACCAGUCACCGUCACAAAUGUGUUGUUGCGCAUUAUUUUAACAUGAACUGUAUCUACAUUUUGCUUUACCCCCUAUCGAUAACUUACAUCGUCUUUCAUGAUUCCCCUGCAUAUUCCUACCAAUUUUCGUUAACUUCGUUUUGCAAUACCUAAUUUCGUACCUAAGUUUCCUAAAAUUCUAGGCAUGGCAUUAUGCAGAACACGAGUCGGACCUUAGAAGUUCUCUAAAAUUCCAUGAAAAAUAUACACAUUUUAUAAAUAAAACAAGACUAGUUAGGAAAAAAAAACCCAUCAAAGGAAACAGUUUAAUUUCACCCCAAAUGUAUGAGAACAGGUUAAUAUGGGUUGUCAUUUGUUUAUAAUAUCUAAUAGGAAAAAAUAUCCAAAUAACAAAUUUAUAAUCAAGAACACAGUACAAAUGGGCUAAUAGUUUCCA